CAACAGCCAUGGAUGUUGGAAAUGUAUGUAUAGAAAACUCAGGAUAAGUUAAGAUCCUGGAGAAAAGGCAAAGAAGGAGAGAGCAAAUAGUAACUAGGUGGAAAUCGAAGACAGAGGGUGCGAAAGAGAAGGAUGUUUCUGAAAAUCUUGGGGGUACAAAGACUCUUCUUCGUAAAUGCAGAGGAGGACAAUUACUCUCUGCAAAGGUCUUCCAAAGACUGGGAGAUCCAAAAAUGGUAAAGGAAAGGACCAGUGCUCUGUUGUCACAGAUGAUAAAAAUAGGAUGAGACUUUUGACAUACCAUAUAAUUUCUAACCUAAACAUCCUAGAAGCAUAGAUUAUUGAGUUUUACAAGCAGUUUUACUACUGAAAGAUCUUACGCAUACAGCACUCUGAAAGAGAAAACUAGAUGAAUAACUUCAUCUGGCAGAGUCCUUCCAGUAGCUCACACUGAGAGAAAGAGAGAAAGACCUUGUGGCAUAUGGUGGUGGCAGCUGAUGAAGUGGAGGUGGGAGUGAUUCUUCAGGAUAUCCCUGCUGGCUUCCACUCUUCUGAUACAAGUGUUGCUUCUGCUUGGGAACCCCUAUCUGGUCUGAGGUCUAGAGCAAGUGCUUCAGAAAAGUAGGUCCUUGACAGAUUAAGACUUAGAGGUAAACUCAGAUCCUACCAGUCACAUAUCCUUGCAGAAACUUAUCUUCAUAUCAAAAAACAAGUAUACAGAUGCUCUAAAAAAGUUCUUCUCCUGAAUGUAAGAUUCCCAUCAAUACAGACUGCAUAGUAAAAAAUCCUGUUAAUAGAGGAAUGAUAAUGUAAGAUGUUAUAGUAACUAACUGUGGUUAAUAAUUCUAUUCUUGGUUUUUGUUUGUUUGUUCAUUUUGCUUAGCAAUGGCACUUGCCCAUUAUUACAAGUGCAUAUGUAUACACAUAAUAAAACUCUAACAACAUAUGACA
rnacentral:lncRNA from 1 species